AGAGUUUGAUCCUGGCUCAGGAUGAACGCUGGCGGCGUGCCUAACACAUGCAAGUCGAACGAGCGAGAGAUGAAACCUAGUGAUUCUCGAGCGAGUGGCGGACGGGUGAGUAACGCGUGGGUAACCUGCCUUACAGAGGGGGAUAACAGUUUGAAAAGACUGCUAAUACCGCAUAAGCACACAGUACCGCAUGGUACAGGGUGAAAAGAUUUAUCACUGUAAGAUGGACCCGCGUCUGAUUAGCCAGUUGGCAGGGUAACGGCCUACCAAAGCGACGAUCAGUAGCCGACCUGAGAGGGUGAUCGGCCACAUUGGGACUGAGACACGGCCCAAACUCCUACGGGAGGCAGCAGUGGGGGAUAUUGCACAAUGGAGGAAACUCUGAUGCAGCGACGCCGCGUGAGUGAAGAAGUAUUUCGGUAUGUAAAGCUCUAUCAGCAGGGAAGAUAAUGACAGUACCUGACCAAGAAGCCCCGGCUAACUACGUGCCAGCAGCCGCGGUAAUACGUAGGGGGCAAGCGUUAUCCGGAUUUACUGGGUGUAAAGGGAGCGUAGACGGAACAGCAAGUCUGAAGUGAAAUCCCCGGGCUCAACCCGGGAACUGCUUUGGAAACUGCGAGUCUGGAGUGUCGGAGAGGUAAGCGGAAUUCCUGGUGUAGUAGUGAAAUGCGUAGAUAUCAGGAAGAACACCGGAGGCGAAGGCGGCUUACUGGACGAUAACUGACGUUGAGGCUCGAAAGCGUGGGGAGCAAACAGGAUUAGAUACCCUGGUAGUCCACGCCGUAAACGAUGAA
rnacentral:rRNA from 1 species